UACGUAGGGUGCGAGCGUUAUUCGGAAUUACUGGGCGUAAAGGGUGCGUAGGCGGUCGGGUAAGUCUGAUGUGAAAUCUCACAGCUUAACUGUGAAACUGCAUUGGAUACUAUCCGGCUCGAGGAAUGGAGGGGAGACUGGAAUACUUGGUGUAGCAGUGAAAUGCGUAGAUAUCAAGAGGAACACCAGUGGCGAAGGCGAGUCUCUGGACAUUUCCUGACGCUGAGGCACGAAAGCCAGGGGAGCAAACGGG
rnacentral:rRNA from 1 species